UUAAAUGACAUACAUAUUUAAAGGUAUCGUAUUUUUCUCUUCAAAACAAAACAAAACCUCUGAACAUCUCAUAUUUCGGACCAAAACAAAACCACCAAGAAUCAAGCAUUCUAGCUCGAGCAUUCUAGCUCGAAUAUCUUCGAAUCCCCCUAUUUCAGACCAAAAAAAUUUGAAUCCCCCUAUUUCAGACCAAAAGAAAUCCAAGAAUCAAGCAACCUAACUCGAAAAAUUCGAAUCCCCCCUCACGGAGACCAAAAAUCAGUAUCUACCUCCUUGAUAUCGAUUUCGAUUCGGUAAACCCUUUUACUAUUUUUCGCCAUUACAACUCUAUUUUAUGAAGAUUUGCUGCAAUUUAUCCAUCUACUUUUUCUAGGUUUUGGCCUUGGAUGAUUUCUGGGUCAUAUUUGGGUUUUUUUCAGUGGGGUUUUUCACCAUGUUUGUUUCUCCAUUCUUCUGCAACACUAAGACCAUGUUACAAUUUGUUUUUGUUUCGUUAUUUUUUGUUGAAUUAGUGUCUUCAAUAUUUGAUUUUUCAAGUGGGUUUUACAUAUCUAAGUAGAAUAGUAGCGGUUCACGGACAAAUUUAUGUAUUUUUGAAGACGAAAUACAAGUGUUGUGAUUAUCCUAUGGCUAUUUUAAUAUCUUAGUUUUUGUUUGAAAUUUUAAAUUUUACUGUUUUUUGCUGCAAGGAUUAUGCCUGAUUGCAUGAGGGGAUUUUUUUUUCAAGUUGUCUUGUAUAUUUGUUGGUACAUCUAGGAUUCAAGUCCUAGAGAGCUCUGUCUAGUAUUGAGUUUACAUAUAUGUUAAAGAUUUGAUCUAAAUAGUCAUUUUUGUAAUAGGUGCUUUCUUUGAUCUAACAGGUUUAUAUGACACAUCAUAGUAAUGUAGCACAUUUGUUUGAAUGGUUGAAUUCAAUAUUAUCCAUCUCGCACUCAUAUGCCUUUCAUUGUACAACAUUGUAACAUUGCCUCGGAUAUUAUUUAGUUUUGCCUUCAAUGGAAACUUAGCUUGGCCUCAGUAGGCUUGAAGCAAGUUUGGCUCAAAGUAUUGUGAUGACUUUCUUGUUGAUGGAAGUUAACCUUAUUUGGGAGUUUGUUUGCCAAAUAUUACAUGCAUUUACAAGCCAUUGGUUUUUAGCUCUUAUGUAAACCCCUCACUAAUUUUUUUCCCCGAGUCAUGAACACAAAUUCAUCAAUGUGGAGUUCCUUCACCUAUGGAGGUUUCAUGGAUCAAAACAAAUCCUGGGAGACAAUUUGUUGGUUGCACAAAUUAUAAAACAAUACCAUAUAACUCAUUUGAAUGGAUUGAUCUAGCAAUGUCACCGCGCUCAAGAAUUGUUCAGUAUUAUAGUGAAAAUAAUGAAUUGAAGUUUGAAAUAGAAAUUCUAAAAAAAAAAAAGUUGACGAGUUGACCAUUGUUAUUGUCAAUGCCAAAAAUGACAAAGCUAUUAUAGAAAAGAAAAAUCAAGAGUUGGUGAUAAAAAUUGAGGAGAUUAAAUUGAACAAUGAAAAAUUGAAGAAAAUAGUGGUGUACUUGGUGUUUGUUUUUCUUUUCAUGUUGUGGUUUUUAUUGUUUGUAAUGAAGUUAUAGUUGCUUUGUAAUGAAAUUGUUCAAUGUAAUGGAGGUGGUUUUCCUUUAUUUAACAUCUUAUUCUACCAUCAAUUGUCUGUGACUGAAUGUCUCAAAAGUUCAACUAUGUAUGAAUAUACCUCCCAAUUAUACAAGCUGAAACGUUAACGAUUAUUUAUUAAUUAACGAUUGUUUAAAAUAUCAAAAAAGAGACAUGGCCAUCUCAAAUUUGAGCUAGUAAAUAAUUG
rnacentral:lncRNA from 1 species